rnacentral:rRNA from 1 species
UACGGAGGGUGCGAACGUUAAUCGGAAUCACUGGGCGUAAAGCGCGCGUAGGCGGUUUGUUAAGUGGGAUGUGAAAUCCCCGGGCUUAACCUGGGAAUUGCAUUUCAAACUGGCCGACUAGAGUACGGUAGAGGGAGGUAGAAUUUCCUGUGUAGCGGUGAAAUGCGUAGAUAUAGGAAGGAAUACCAGUGGCGAAAGCGGCCUCCUGGAUCGAUACUGACGCUGAGGCGCGAAAGCGUGGGGAGCAAACAGG